rnacentral:rRNA from 1 species
AGGACGAACGCUGGCGGCGUGCUUAACACAUGCAAGUCGAGCGGAAAGGCCCUUCGGGGUACUCGAGCGGCGAACGGGUGAGUAACACGUGAGUAACCUGCCCCAAACUUUGGGAUAACCCUCGGAAACGGGGGCUAAUACCGGAUAUGACUGCUGAUCGCAUGGUUGGUGGUGGAAAGUUUUUCGGUUGGGAUGGGCUCGCGGCCUAUCAGCUUGUUGGUGGGGUAAUGGCCUACCAAGGCGAGGACGGGUAG